rnacentral:rRNA from 1 species
UACAGAGGUCUCGAGCGUUGUUCGGAUUCAUUGGGCGUAAAGGGCGCGUAGGCGGCGGGGUCAGUCUGGUGUGAAAUCUCGGAGCUCAACUCCGAAAUUGCACUGGAUACUGCUCUGCUAGAGGGCUGGAGAGGAGAUCGGAAUUCACGGUGUAGCAGUGAAAUGCGUAGAUAUCGUGAGGAAGACCAGUGGCGAAGGCGGAUCUCUGGACAGCUCCUGACGCUGAGGCGCGAAGGCUAGGGGAGCAAACGGG